rnacentral:rRNA from 1 species
UACGUAGGGGGCUAGCGUUGUCCGGAUUUAUUGGGCGUAAAGAGCGUGUAGGCGGCCCGGUAAGUCCGCUGUGAAAGUCGGGGGCUCAACCCUCGAAUGCCGGUGGAUACUGUCGGGCUAGAGUGCGGAAGAGGCGAGUGGAAUUCCUGGUGUAGCGGUGAAAUGCGCAGAUAUCAGGAGGAACACCGAUUGCGAAGGCAGCUCGCUGGGACGUCACUGACGCUGAGACGCGAAAGCGUGGGGAGCAAAUAGG